GUUCGAAACCCAAAAGCAAGCCCAAGAGGGAAAAAACUGAGGAAGAGAAAAAGUUCCGUAGAAGGGCUAAAUAUUUUCUGGUCACUCAGCUAGUUGCAGUUUUAGUUUUCCUCUCCCUCCUUGGAGGAUCUGAUGCUGCUGAAGUGGAGCUUGAUGAAGAUGAUGAUGGUGCGGAUUAUGAUUGAGCAGUGAGCGUGGGCGCCUUGAUCUUCACUUUCGAGAGUAGUUUAGACUCAAGACUCUUGUAGUAUCCCUCUUUAUAAUUUGGAAAAUUUUGAAUUUUUCCUGGUGCCAUGAAUUAUGGCAUCACUGUAGAAUAAAUUGUUUUUCUUCAAUCAUAAAUCGUGGUCUGAGUUGCACCCUUCAGAAAAAUAGGGUAACGGACAAAUACGAGAGAUGGAAAUUACAGUUUCUUUCAAACUUUUGAUGAUUUACUACAAUUUUUCUUUUUUUCAACUUCAGUUUUGAUGGAUGUUGGAAAAUGGUAGAAGCAUUCAUGCUUUG
rnacentral:misc_RNA from 1 species